GUCUGCUGGCAGUGCUGUGAGAAGGAAGGGACAGGAGGUCGUGCCAGGGAAAGGAAGGAGCGAGCUAGAAAUGCAGAAAGAAGAGAGAAGGAAAGAGCCAGAGCUGUGUGGAGCAACUCAUGGGACUGCAACAUAGAAAAGUAUAAAGCCCUUCAUUUAUCUCAUCGGAUGUCCAAAGCCCAGCAGCACCACUCCAGAGAGAAACAAGCGCUGUGGUGCUCCGGGGGCUGCGCAGACCCCGCUCCCGGUCCCAACCCGCCGGCCAGAGGCUUCCCGUAUUUCAGCACACGGACACCCGAGCUGGACCGAAGAGGGGAACGGAGAUUGCCACCAACACGAACCUGAGGAGUUGUGCGGGUGCGGGGGGACACCUCGUGGGCAGCGCGGGAAGCUCGCCCGCUCCGGCCGCUGGCAGCCCGCGCCUGCCGCCCUCCGCCGGGGAGCCCCCGGACGUGCCCGGCCUCGCUGGACAGAGAGCAGAGACCCCCUGCUCCCAGCUGGGCUGGGCGAGCUGCGGGACUCCAGGGCUUAUGGAAGAAAUCGCAUUUCUGCGAUGGGUGUGCACUGACAGAGACUAGUCUCGCUUUAACAUACAUCCGGGAGCCACAGCCUCCAGCCUCAACAAAGUUCAGACACGAAACUGAGUUAGGGGAUGUUUAGGCUGGGUAUCAUGAAGAAACUUUUCACCCAGAGGGUUGUUAGGCACUGGCACAGGCUCCCCAGGGAAGUGGUCACAGCACCAGCAUGAGAGAGCUCAAGAAGCAUUUGGACAAUGGUCUCAGGCACAUGGUGUGACUCUUGGGGUGUCCUGUGCGGGGCCAGGAGCUGGACUCGAUGAUCCUGAUGAGUCCCUUACCAUUCAGCUUAUUCUAGAAUUCACAGAAUUCUGUGAAAGUUGUUCAGUGUAGAGCGUGUUUUGUGUCAGCAGGGAAGUGGACAGUGCCUCAGAACUUGCCUCAGAAGACAGGGAUAAAAACCAGCAUUGGAAGCAUAACCCAAAGCAGGGAACUCAACAAAGCCUCUCAAGCUGGAUGCUGUUGCCAUUCAGUGAUUUGAAUGGUGUGCCUCAUAGACCAUGUUCAGUUUUGGGCUCCUCUCUACAAGACAAAGAGUUUGAAGUUCUAGAGUGUGUCCGGAGUAGGAUGCUAGAGCUGGUGAAUUGGCUGGAGCACAAGUCUGAUGAGGAACAGCUGAGGCAGCUGGAUGGCUUAGCCUGGAGGAAAGAAGGCACAGGUGGCAUCUUAUUGCCCCCUACAAUCACCUGAAAGGUGGUUGUAAAAAGGUAAAGAUUAAUCUCUUCUCCUAAAUUACAGAUGGUAGGACAAAUGGAAAUGGCCUCAAGUUUCACCAGGGCAGGUUUACAUUGGAUAUAUGAAAAAUUUCUUCAAUGAGUAGUCAGACAUUGAAAAAAGUUGCCCAGGCAAGAGGUGAAAUUACCAUCCCUGGAAGAGUUCAAUAAACAUAUAAAUGUGACACUGGAGACAUUGUGAAUGGUGAACACGGAAGUGCUGGGUUAAGGGUCAGACUCAAUGACCUUAAGGGUCAUUUCCAACAUUAAUAAUUCUGUGAUUCUGUGGAUUUGACUGUAAACCAAGAAUGGAGCCUGCAGUGUGGGCCUUACCCAGGCUGGUCUUACAGGCCUUCGAGGCAAAUGGGGCCACAAUGAAAGGGGAUCAGGCUGAAUGGGCCCCUUCACAGGUUGCAGAAGUAACCAGGGUCAGGGGGCAGCUGGGACACACUGGAAGCAGUGCUGUGCGGUGGCCUGGCUUAGGAGAGAUAAGCACCAGGUCCCUGGGGCUGUCUACCCACAGAGGUUGAUCAGAGCUGAUGGUGUCACCCUUUGUCUGCGUUUGUCAUGCUGUCCUCACUGACACCUAUCGAGCUCGUUGCAGCAUAAGGAACAGGAGAAAAAAAGCAAUAAUCUGUCAUGACAGACUAUCAUGUGCCUGCCUGGGAUGUCCUCAGCAGAGAGAGUCUGGCAAGUGCUGUUGCUACUCACGGCCGACACACUGAACCUGCGCUGCACAGAUGUCGCACAGGGACUGGCAUGGUAUGCUCACACUAUGGGGAAUCACUAAGAUUACUGCUCACAGCUUGUACAGCUCUGUCUACCCAGACACAUGGAAUCCCAAACACAGCAAAUCCUCAAAGGCGUCCAAGGGGAAAAGGAGAAUCUGGGAAAACACACUGUCAAAAAUGGCCGUCAUUUUAACCAGGGCUAUGGAAGGAUGGAGGAAAAGAGCAAAAUCGAGGAACAGCAAUGAAAAGCAUACUGGGCUUUUCUGGGAGCUGGUAGUAUAAAGCCCUGCUCUGCACUUUAAAAGGUGUUUACUAAAUCCGCACUUUGCUUUCUGAGGGCUUUCUCCACAUUCUUCCUAUGCCCUUUUGGGUUAAGGAGUAGCUACAUUGUGUUUCUUCAAAGUCUACCACAAUAAGGCUGAUUUUUCUCAGUUUUAAAUCUAUUUCUAAAAAUAAGUAUGGUCAGCUGCCACAUUUUGACACUACUGUAGAAAGGUGAAGGGCAUGCUAACUGAACUUCAUGAAGUCUGCUUUUUAUGGAUCUAACAAAGACUAAUAUGGAAAAUGUAGACCCUCAUGUUUUAUCUCAAUUUAAUUCUGUAGAUGGGGUAAACAGAUGGUGUGCACCUUACUGUUUUAAUCACUGAAAUUAAACAUUCAUUUUGAUAUAUCAGCUCACUAUAAUAGAAAUAAAUAUUUUGCUACACUAUAUUUUUGCUGUCCAAAGGUAUUUGGUUUAAACUUCUACACCACAAUCCUGUUUUAAGCUCUUUGCUACAAAUCCCAAGAUUGGGAUGACACCACUAUUCCGUGCACACCUUUUAUUUCAGUGAGCACUACCACCUAACUCUUUUCUUGCACCCUGUGCUGCUGCCUCUAUUAACAUGAUAUAAACACCUGACCAUCUAAUUUUCAUAUUCUUAUACAAUAUUGAAUGUAAUGAAAUGUCCUGAGGCUACAAGCACUACCACAGUAGGGAAAAAGUAACUACAGGAACGCCAGUAAUGCAAUUAGUAGCCAUGAAUUUUGCUGAUGUGAUGUACCCUUAGCAGCACGUCCAGCUCCUGUGGUAUUGUGCAACUGAGAGUUGUGGACAGAAAUGUUAAGAUAGUUUCCUGAUUGAGAUUGCUACUGCCUAAGAGACCACCUUGAAAACUUGAUCCUUACAGCUUAAAAUAACCUGAACUUUUCUUCAGAAUUCUGUACAGAUUUAAGCUAGGCUGCUGAAGAAGUAGGAGCUGUUAUUAAUCUGUCUGGAAAAAAAUAUACAGGGAUACUAAUGAAAAAAGUUCUGCUCAGUCAACUUCCAUCUAGGAUUUAGUUUCAGUAGAUAGCUUAAUGAAGAUGAAAAACAUUUGCCUCUGAUACUGGUAUAGAUACAGGAACAAGGACAAUUUUGUUUUAUGCUGUUUUAUGGGCAUUUUCUUCUAAUUCCUGUUACAGGAUUUACAUAUAUAUAUACGUUUUUUACCCUUUUGCUACUGUUGGAACUCUUCAUGUGACAUUGAAAUGUAACAUUUUUUUGGCUUGUCUUUGAUCUUUGAACAUUAAUUUUUGAGUUGCAUUUUUAAAAUUAAACUUUUUCAGUUUAUUUUCCAGGUGGAAAGACUAUCCCACUAACAAGUUCUUGUUUCUUGUCCUCUACAUUUAUUAUUGAGUAGGUUCUCCAAAACCAUGUGUGCUUUUCUCCAUGAUCAGUUCAAAUUCCAGGGCUUCUUUUACUUUCUCCUUCCAGUGACUGUGUUUUAAACCAUUUUCUUUCAAUCUGUACAAUUUGCUUCUACUGCAGGUUGUGUACAUUCCUCUCCUCAGAGAGAGAUAGUGUAUAUUUCACAAUGAGACAAAAUAAGAAUAAUCAGUAGGUGAUUUUUUGCCAAGGCAGAGAGCAGCUGUAGGAGCUAGGUAAACAAAUGUGAAAUCAGGCCAAACUGCAAUGAAACAAAAGUUCUUCUAGCUGCAGAGAAUGCUGGAUCCUCUGCUAGUCUUUUAUUGCUUGAUUUAUUAACAUACAGACCAUAUCUAACAAUAUCCACAUAUUUAACAUAUGUGUAAUCACUUUUACAACAGAAAAUAGACUUAUUUUUCACAGUCAUGGCCUAAAUGUAUCUUUAGGUUUGUCUCGUAUCCCAGUACGUUUGGGAAUGGCUUUCUUUGUGUCUCAUACAUUUACACUGAAAGGGAUGCAUGAAAUUAGACAGAUCUGUCUCAGGUUUUGUAUUAACAGAUUCUGUGCGUUUUGUAAUAUAUCUUAACCUGUAAAUCAAAGCUAGACAGAAUUAAAAUGUCUGCAGGCACAGUUGUAUGCAGUUUGAGUUUGUGUUUCACAGAAAAAGCAAUGUCUCACACUGAACUGCUAGUAAGGAAAUAACUACACUGGUUCAGCACACCUUCAACCUGACCUCCAUUCCAUCCACCCUGUAGUCUUUGCUAUCUCUUACCACCAAAACAGCACAGGAGUCUCAAGCAUGAAGUGUUAUCAGUGCCACAGCAGAUGAAGCUGUUGCAGUUGUUCCAGAAGCAUUGCCUGGGGCUGUCUGCCUUGCCCAUGUGGUGUAGGAGCUGCUGUAGCCAGUGCACCAGUGGGCACAGUGUAGAUAUGAGUGGGCACUCAGGAUUUGGUAUGUUGUGGCUCCCCAGCUGGUUUAAACCUGACACAUUAGUUUGCACAGUUUGAGUUCAGUGAUAGUCGUUUAAGCUGCUGUACCAGAGUCUGAGGUGCAAUGGCAGAGAGCCACCACACAGCUGCUGCUGUUGCGUCACCUGUGGGCAAGAAUCUCCCAAAAGUUGUAACACAGAUCUAUGAGAAUGAAACUCCCCAUGCACUGCAAAUAUGCCUUUUGGUAUAUUUGAACCUGCAGGGUAUUUUUUCAGGAGUUGUUUGCCAUGGCUGCUGGUCCCAGAGUACUGACUGAAUGGGUACGGAUGGCUGGAAAGGACCGCUGACCAAGCUCUUCUUGUCCAUUGGUGGUGUUAACGUCACCAGAACUGUGUGAGGCUGUUUUGUAACAAAGUGCUGCAU